rnacentral:rRNA from 1 species
UACGGAGGAUCCGAGCGUUAUCCGGAUUUAUUGGGUUUAAAGGGUGCGUAGGUGGAUUGGUAAGUCAGUGGUGAAAGUUUGCAGCUUAACUGUAAAAUUGCCGUUGAAACUGCCGGUCUUGAGUGCAAAUGAGGUAGGCGGAAUGUGUCGUGUAGCGGUGAAAUGCUUAGAUAUGACGCAGAACUCCGAUUGCGAAGGCAGCUUACUGGGAUGCAACUGACGCUGAGGCACGAAAGCGUGGGUAUCAAACAGGAUUAGAUACCCGU